rnacentral:rRNA from 1 species
UACGUAGGGGGCAAGCGUUGUCCGGAUUUAUUGGGCGUAAAGAGCGUGUAGGCGGUUUGGUAGGUCCGCUGUGAAAACUCGAGGCUCAACCUCGAGACGCCGGUGGAAACCAUCAGACUAGAGUCCGGAAGAGGGAGAGUGGAAUUCCGUGGUGUAGCGGUGAAAUGCGCAGAUAGUCAAGGAGGAACACCGAUGGCGAAGGCAGGUCUCCGUGGGCAUUGAACUGACGCUGGAGGAGCGAAAGCAUGGGGAGC